UACGUAGGGGGCAAGCGUUGUCCGGAAUUAUUGGGCGUAAAGCGCGUGUAGGCGGUCCGGUAAGUCCGCUGUGAAAGUCGGGGGCUCAACCCUCGGAUGCCGGUGGAUACUGUCGGGCUUGAGUACGGAAGAGGCGAGUGGAAUUCCUGGUGUAGCGGUGAAAUGCGCAGAUAUCAGGAGGAACACCAAUUGCGAAGGCAGCUCGCUGGGACGUAACUGACGCUGAGACGCGAAAGCGUGGGGAGCAAACAGG
rnacentral:rRNA from 1 species